rnacentral:lncRNA from 1 species
GACUAUAGAAGCCAAAUCCCAAUGUGAAAAUGCACCUUUCAAUUGCAUACACUGGGUCGUUCUGGAGGUGACACUCAUAAAAGAUUUUUCUAGGUCUUAGCAGAGCCGUAAAGCAGGACCCCCUCAUCCGGCAGACAGCACAGAAUCCAAAAAUCUGCCUAUCAAAAGCAUCAUCCAAGCCACAGCGCUCUUCUGUGCCUGGUAAAAAGCAGGCAGAAAAAGAGAAGACAAAGGUCAGCCCUUGUCAAUUCUUUAUAAAUGUGAUGGUGCUGGGUGUUCGCAGGGAACUGCUAUGUUUCCCUAGCAACUUUGUGUGUGUGCAGAUGCGUUUAGUACAUUUCUUCCCCUUGUUAUUUUCAGACCGUCUUCUUGUACUGCGGAGGAUUCUGAAUGUAUUCUCUCGGUUACACGGGCCUUUUUAUUAAGGGGAUUAAGAGCUGACAUUUUGGGGGAGGGAAGUUUGCUGAACUGGGGGCGGUCAAAAGUCAUCUGUUCCUUUUCCUUGUUUAUGAGGGGCAGGGAAGGGACAUGGGGAAAUAACGUGCCCCACGCUCGGCUCUUGGCUCAUUCGCCUGCCACGUUUAUUGGGCGCUUAUGCAUUACCCAGCACGGUGCUGGGCACACAGCAGGGGUGUGCAAACUUUGUCUGCAAAGCUCCAGACAGGAAAUAUUUUAGGCUCCGUGGCAGCCAGACCGUCUCUAUCACAAGUCCUCACCUCUGUGUCUGUGUGUUGCAGCAGCUGCAGACAAUCCAUAAAUGAAUGGGCGUGGCGGGGUGCCAGUAAAGCUUUCCAUAUGGACACUGAAACCUGAAUUUCGCACAAGUUUCACAGGUCACGAAAUACUAUCCUUUUGAUGGUUUUUUUUUUCCCAACCAUUUAAAAAUAUAUAAAACGUAUUCUUAGCUUCUGGGCCACACAAAACAGGCAGCAGGCCGGAUACGGCCCGCGGGCCAUGGUUUGCUGACCCCGCGUGCAGAACUGGGGGGGGGGGGGGGUGUGCUCUCACGGGAGUGACAAUAUGGACACAGGCAGUAGAGAAUGCAUCAACAAGAUGACAUCAGGCUCCUGUAAGGGACAUGAAGGAAUUAAGACUGGAAGAUGUACUGAAGAGUGUCUGAGAGGUGGAGGUUACUUGGGAUGGGGCCGGCAGGAAGGCCUCGCUGGGACCUAACCAAGCGCCUCACUCGCCUAGGCAUCGCUGAGCAAACCGCUAACUCCCUAAGUCAGCUGCACUUGACGUCCAUCAAUUCAUAGACUCACGCUGCAAAACACAGAAAACAGAAAACAAAGCAACCGACUCACUCGACCCUGUUUUCAAAAUUGUGGAAGGUAGGCAUAUGCUGACAAGAAUAAUCAAACCUGUUAACAUUACAGAUUUCCAGGGGCUGUGCGGAACACUUAAUCCCCAGGCACUAGGAGAUAGGAGUUUUAAAUGUGCAGCACCCUUUUUCGAAGCGGGGUGGGGGGGAGGGUUCUCUCACUGGAAAUAGUGCCAUGACCUCAGGUCAGUUGUCGCCUCUUUUCACUACUCAUAGAGUUGAAACCAUGGCGCCCUCUCGACUUCCAAAAACUUGAAGUGACUGGGCCCCCUUUAUCUACAUCUUCUUGAACUACGCAAACCUUCUUUUUCAGGGCUGCUAAAAUGUUUUUUCAACAGAGACGAAUUAUCUUCAUGAAAGUUCUCCUGGAGAAAACAGAAUCAUAAAGGGACUUGGCACUCAAUUCAUCUUUUGGGGACAGGCCAAAGGUGAACAACGUUUCUCCUCGUUUCCUAAUUUGCUGGCUAAUUUCAGACACAACGUCAAAGGAUUUGAUGGUAGUUUUUAUGUUACUCGAACUGUUUCACAGUAGACCAUCCGACAGUUGUGAGACAGGAAGCUGGUGCCAGGGUGGUUAUUAGGAGGUGAAUUUUUUUUUUAAUUUUUUUAAUGUUUUUUUAUUUAUUUUUGAGACAGAGAGAGACAGAGCAUGAGCAGGGGAGGGGCAGAGAGAGAGGGAGACACAGAAUCCGAAGCAGGCUCUGGGCUCUGAGCUGUCAGCACAGAGCCCGACGCAGGGCUCGAACUCACGGACGGUGAGAUCGUGACCUGAGCCGAAGUCAGACGCUCAACUGACUGAGCCACCCAGGCGCCCCAGGAGGUGAAUUUUAACUCCAGGGUUCUCACUUGGAAUUGCCUUUUUGGGGCAACAGGGCUUAAAGAGUAAUUUGAUUGGUUUGGUGGGUUGGUUCCUUGGUUGGUUUUAAUUCAGCAACCAUCGGUGGUCCUUUUAAAGGGCUUUGCUGUCUCCUACACAGAACUUAUAUUUCCACUCCUGUGCUCUUUUCCAAAAUCAACAUUACCUGUGUAAGGGUGUGCAUGUGCGCGCACACACACACACACACACACAAAUACACCUGCAGUACACCUGGAGAAUCUACAGAUUCUCUUGAGAAUCUAUGGCCAUGAGACUUUCUAGAACCCACUUGACACUUUCCUCCUUUUCAAAGUAUUUCCACUACUGUUAGUGGAAACCAUAAGAAUUCUUAAGACCUGCAUCCUCAGCCUGGCACCUCACUGAAGGUGGGACCUCAGAGAAGUUACCCCAUUUUCCUGCUUUAAGAUGGAUUCACGACCUCCGGUCCCUCCGUCUCACAAAGCUGUUGUUAGAAUCAAACAAAAUGACCUAUGUGAAAACAACAGGAAAACUACAAAAUGGUAAAAUGUUUGUAGGGAUUCUCGUUGCUACCCCUAUUGUGAUAUGAGCAACACUUGAGGCUCCCGUUUGAAUGAGACCAUGUUUGCGUGUAUGUGUGUGCGUGUGUGUGUGUGUAGGUGUUGACCUGUUGCCUUUAACCAAGUUCAAAUUCAUCUGUAAAUCCCCCAAGAAUACAGAAUUAGGUUUGUCACUUUGUCCCUGUGCUUUAUGCAGUACUGUGCACAGAGGAGCCUCCAAAAUGGGUUCCUUAACUGAGACACCACUCACAGCCAAAGAACUUUCUCACUCAUGAGUGCCAUGCAUCCCUACGCAUAACGCUUGCCACCAGUGAAAGAGGGUGACUCCCCAGAUUCCUGCUUUGAAAUAGGGCUCCCACAAGGAUAUCACUCCGAACCCAAGUCCCAGAGAUGUUUUGUGAAGUGUGUCGGUGGUCAAACAACAGGAGGUGGCAGCCUUAUGGGACCGCUUUUACACAGUCGUGGGGUGUGGGGUAAGCCACUGGGUCACAGAACUUCUGCUAAAGGUAAACAUCUUCUUUCACUCUGGGGUCUCACAAAUCCACUUGAACAACAAUGCUGGCUUUCCAUUAGCAACUAUUUACACCCCUGCCCAACUAUCUCUUCAAAGUCGCGUUGGAAAACACUCAGGAAGAGUGUCCUAUAAACUAGGGUUCAUCAAGUCCAUUCACUGGACUACCGCAGGGGUCAGUGAACUCCGACCCAGGGGCCAAAUCCAGCCCACUCUCUGUUCCCUACAGCCUGCAAGUUAAGGAUGGUGGCUAUUUUUUCAGUCGUUUUAAACUUUAUUGACAUAUAGAAUAAGGUUUACGCAGAUUCAAAAAGUUAAAUAAAAUGUUUCAUGCCCAUUAAUUUUAGUAUUUUUAAUACUCGCUAAUUUUUUGCAUCGGCUUUAUAAUUUUCGUAGACAAUGUUGAAUACUUCAGAAAAAAAAUAAUGCUUUGAAAACAUAGAAUCUAAUUUCCAUCCAUGUUUCCACGGAUUUUUACAUUAAUUUUUUUUUCAAUUGCAGUAUGGUUGACAUGCAAUGUUACAUUAGUUUCAGGUGCACAACGCAUCACAAGGGGAGCCGCCAUCUGUCCCCAUACGACACCGUUACGAUACCAUUGGCCCUGGUCCCCAUAAGCUACCUCUCUUCCCCCUGACUUGUUCUUGCCGUAAGUGGAAGCCUAUGUCUCCCAUUUUACUUGACCCAUCUUGCCCGUCCCCCCCCCACUCAAGAACGAUUGUUAUAUUUGUCAAUGGUUGAAAAAAAAUCAAAAGAAGAGUCCUAUUUAGUGACGCACACAAGAAAAACACAUGAAAUUCAAAUUUCAGUGCCCAUAAGCAAAGUCUUUUGGGGGACACAGUCAUGCUCAUCUGAUUGUGCGGUCUAUGAUCCCUUCACUCUACAGUGGCAGAGUUGGGUAGUUGGGAGUUAGUCCUCAAAGCCAAAAAUACUUACUAUCCGGCCUUUUACAGGAAAAAGUUUGCCAACUUCUGGUCUAGGGCACUACUUUUUAAAAAUGACAGAGAGGGGCGCCUGGGUGGCGCAGUCGGUUAAGCGUCCGACUUCAGCCAGGUCACGAUCUCGCGGUCCGUGAGUUCGAGCCCCGCGUCGGGCUCUGGGCUGAUGGCUCAGAGCCUGGAGCCUGUUUCCGAUUCUGUGUCUCCCUCUCUCUCUGCCCCUCUCCCGUUCAUGCUCUGUCUCUCUCUGUCCCAAAAAUAAAUAAACGUUGAAAAAAAAAAAAAAAAUUUAAAAAUGACAGAGAAAGGGGGCACCUGGGUAGCUCAGUCGGUUGGGCGGCCGACUUUGGCCUGGGCCAUGAUCUCAGGGUUCGUGGGUUUGAGCCCCGCAUGAGGCUCUGUGCUGACAGCUCAGAGCCUAGAGCCUGCUUCGGAUUCUGUGUCUCCCUCUCUCUCUGCCCCUAGUCUGCUCAUUCUCUCUCUCUAAAAAAUAAACAUUAGGGGCGCCUGGGUGGCGCAGUCGGUUAAGCGUCCGACUUCAGCCAGGUCACGAUCUCGCGGUCCGUGAGUUCGAGCCCCGCGUCGGGCUCUGUGCUGACUGCUCGGAGCCUGGAGCCUGUUUCCGAUUCUGUGUCUCCCUCUCUCUCUGCCCCUCCCCCGUUCAUGCUCUGUCUCUCUCUGUCCCAAAAAUAAAUAAACGUUGAAAAAAAAAAAAUUUUAAAAAAAAUAAAAAUAAAUAAAAAUAAAAAAUAAACAUUAAAAAAAAUUUUUUUAAUGACAGAGAAAGGAAUUGAAAAUACCAGACUGUAUCCCAUGUGGGAAGGAGAACCAGCAUUCUGUGGAACAUUCACUUCAACACAAUGUACGUAUAUUACGUAUGUGCGCACAUGCUGGGUCACAAUGAUUGUAUCCCUCACUAUGAAUCACAGUCCAAAAAUUUUUUUUCAACGAUUCUGGAAGCAGAUUAUAACCUGCCUAUGUCUUAUGCUUACAACUCAAAGAGGUCUUUGGUACCAUUACGUAAGGUAGCUAGAUGGUGAGCAGGGAAGAGUAGAAAAGCAAGUCUGACUAGCAAAUUCAUGUAGGGGCACCUGGGUGGCUCAGGUGGUUAAGCAGCCAGCUCUUGAUUUCAGCUCCAGUCAUGAUGUCAUGCUUGUGAGAUUGAGCCCCACACCAGGCUCUAUGCUGAGUGUGGAGCCUCCUUGGGACUCUCUUUCUCCCUCUCUCUUUUCCCCUCCCUCACCCAUGCAUUCGCAUUCUCUCUCUCUCUCUCAAAAAUAAAUAAACGUUUAAAAAACUCAGUAUUCCACUAUCUAUGUCUACACAAAGCAUCUCAUUUAAGAUUCUUUCCCAUUAAGGAACAGACGAUAUUUGCCAAAAAAGCAUUAUCAGUGAUCUAUAGAAUAUUCUCCCAUACACUAGGACGGUUUAUCAAAGACUACUUACACAGAAUCAGUGUAUAUUGUUAUGGUUUCUUUAAGCUCAGAGAGGGCUCCAUUCCUAAAGUAACUUUCCAUCCACCCAUCGAACACACAGUCAUCAAAUCAGAAAGAUGAGGAGCAGAGAGAUGCGGGUAACCUGCGUGAAACCACCCCAGUAAUGAUUAUACUAAGUAAUAAUUAUUGUAAUAACUAAAAUAAUAUUUAUUCAACACGUGCUGUCAGGGAUUGUACCAAGACAAUUCAGCCCUUGAAACAACGGUAUUAUAUGGGGUAGUUAGCACCCCCAUUCUCCAGAUAAAGAUACUAAGGCGCAGGGAGUUAUUCGGCCGCCCAGGAAUAACUCGCUAAGGCCGCCCAGGAAGUAAGAAAAUGACAUGGAAUUUGAAUUCUGGCAACAGGAUCCUCAAACCUGCCCUAUUGACCAUUUCAUUAUAUUUUCGUGCCACUCUUACAUCCCAUCAAUUCAUGUCUGCUGGAAAAAAAUGAACCAGUUGAGCGAUAGAGCCACAGAAUGUACAUUUUAUUAUGGACAUUGUUGUAUAGAGAUAAUGCUACAACAAUCAAAAUAAUAAACACCACCGCUGAUAUUGCCGGGAAUGCGACCGUACUGGUGCUGAACUAUCCCCAAAUUUGAAUUAGAGAGGCAGAACUCAAAUUAUCCCUUUUGCCUGGUACAUAGCCCGAACGACAUAUUUUUCUGAGAAACAUUUUGUGCUUCCUAGCCUCCUCAUGCCCACAUGCUGCCAGGUGAGAGCUAUAGCCUUGCUAACGUGAUCCAUCAGAAAAAUCAAGGGGGAAAAUAGUCAUGAUCUGAUAUACUGGGCACUCUUAAAUUACAGCACAGCCACCCCCCGUAUAGCGCAGGGGAAGACAGAAAUGCGGUGACUAAGCACAUGGCAGGCUGUCACGAAUGUGAACUGGGGAGCGGGGCGGGUCACUGAAUCAUGUCCUAGCACCUCCGCACAUCCAUCGAGACACAAGGUAGCCAAGCCGGCUUGCCCGAGAUGAAAGUCUGAGUAAUCCGGAGGAGGCUGUAAUUCUUUAUAAAACAUACACUAAGUAGUUUUGUUGACGCUUACAUGACAUUUCCAAGGUGGUUGGGAAACCAGACCAUUUGUUACACAGAAUCUAGAUCAAUAGAGUGUGUGGAGGAAGACGAGCAAUGCUUAAAAAAUAAUAAUAAUGAUUUAAUUGAACAAGGGUAGAAUAAUUCCAGGCCUCCAACGUCUCCAAUUUUAUGUUUUAAAUUCAAGAUCGAAAAGAAUGGAAAAAAAUCGCAGCAAUAUGGCACGGCACCCAGAGCCCAAUUCUCUCCUUCGAUACCAUUUAAAGAAGAAAAGAAGGUAUUUUCGUCCCAUUAGACAAAUAUAUAUCUAUAUCUAUAUAUAUAGAUAGAUAGAUAUAUCUAUAUAUAUAGAUAUAUAUAGAUAUAUAUAUAUAAUACAGAAAUGGUCAACUGCUUUUAUCCCUGCUCUUUUCUUUUCUCUUUCUUUUCUUUUCUUUUCUUUUUUUUUUUUUUUUAGGGGCUGUCGUCAGCGUCACUCUGACAGAAGCCUGAAAAAUUAACACAUCACUAGGACUUACCAUGUAAGAUUUAACUUUUGAUAAACAACAAAGUGGGUUACUGCUGUGCUAGCUAUUUUUAAUCCACCUUGUGAGUGUGCUUUUUUUAUUGCUUUAUACAGCAUAUCUGAUUCCCUCUAAAGCACCAACUAAAAAAUCUAUCCAGCUGUCAUUCGCUGCCCGGUAACAUCUAUCAUCACACAGCCUGGCAGGUCUAGUCUAUGAGGCAGAGGGGAGAGGAGACAGGAGGCAGAGUCAAGGACUGUCACAUGGGAUGGGAAAAAAAACUUGUCACAAUUAUUUAUGGCUCUUGCUGGGGCACAUCAUAGGACACAUAAGCCUGUUUCAGUUUCAAGCACCCCUGCACGGCUGUUCCCUUGUCGAAGUUGGACGCAGGCAGGUCUGCUUUACACAUACAAUUUCCUGAACAAUGCCAAGCACUUGGGAAGUGACAGUGACAAAUACUGGGGUUGGUGGCUGUAGCUCUGCGGGCUGCUAUGAGCACGCGGGUGUCAGUAAUCAGGAGAAGUACCACGUGAAGGCCCAGGGCCUCCACUCCCCUAUUCUGCUCUUCCUGGUGAAAGACUUCCUUCCUCCUCAUUGCUUUGAACUGCUGGCCACACGUGUUUAGACAAACAGGAAACGGUGCGUUGCAGCCGUAUUUUAUUAUUCGAGGCCGUAUUCAUCCGAGGGCUUCCAUAUUCACCUGUUCCUUCCCUGACCCAUCCCCACACACCCAGAGGGAGAAACCAAUCCCAGGGGUUCAUCCCAGACGGUUUCACGUCCGCUAAAUACCCAGGCUCCUGAGCAGUUGGUUCAAUUGAGGUUCUGCCUCCGGAUGUUUUCUCAACAGCAAAGGCUGGAUCCGAUGGUAAUUUUGUCCGGUUCUGUCACCUAAGUCCUGCCGUAAGACCUUUUGGUCUUUGUAGCCUCAUUCGGGUCUACCCUUUGGCCCUCUGGAGGGACUCAAAGGCGACUCCAUCAACAUUCUCUCUACCCAACAGACCCUGGCAAACCUAAGAGCUGAGCUUGCAACGUUUAAGAUAAUUAAACAUAAAAUGGGGGUCCGGUCCAAUGAGUGACUCUUGCACACUUUGUGACUCCAGCACGGCCCGACAUUAACCUAGGUGCCCACACAGAGCCCUCGGGCACCUUGGCAUCGCCUGCCCGGCCCCUGCUGAUGAAAAAUGGCAAAGACCCUAAUUAAAGAUAAUAGGGGCAGGAUGGCCCUGGCAGCCAAAUCAGAAAUUAAUAGGGGAAGAAGAAAACCUGUGAAUAGAAGUAUCCAGGAACAGUGGAAUUGGUCCAACUAUCUGUUCAGAAAUUGCUAAACCCAGGUCACCGGAGAACUUCUCUCUUACGUUCCCUCUCUUACGCCCAGCCCUUCCCACACUCCCAUUACCCAUUCGGCCUCUGAUGACAGUUCAGUUGGCGACAACUGUUUCCCUUCCUUUGAGGUCGUUUUCCCUUGGUGCUUUCACGAGCAAUACCAAGGUGACCUUCACCCACCGCCCACACCCCACACCCUUCUCACAUUCCCAAAUAGGAGGAGGACAACCUCUCCCCUCCCCAGGCAGGAGAUACAUGGUAUUUGCACCCUCUCACUCCCACCACUGCCCCUCCAUCUAAUUAGCGACUUAGCGGUCACAGGUAGGCUUGGUAUCUAUGAGACCACACCCCCCAGCAUAGACUCACUACACUGGCAUUCCUCACAGUCUCCCCGCAAGAAGGUUCCCACAACCAGCUCAACUCAUGGGGCAAUACCUAUCAUUAGGAUGCAGACUUCACUCAAACAUGUACAACUUCUAUCCCUGGCAUUUUUAGAGGGGAAAACAAAACAUGUAUUCAAUCGAUAUUUUUUGAGUAAUGAUGGGCCAGGUGUGGGGAUAGAGCGGGGAACACGAACAACAUAAUUUCUGUUUUCAUGCAGGUUUUUCCAUGAUGCCCCUCUCGUUUACAGAAGUGAGCAGUGCAUGGCAAAGCAAAUACAGGGUAUAACAGAAAACACACUUCACGCAGAGACCUGCCCCGGUCUGCAGGAUAAGGGGUCCCUCCUGGGAAAUGGCGACGAAAUAGAUCUUUGAGGAUGCAUAGGUGGUAUCCGGGGUGGCGACUUGAAUGAGUUACUUAGUGUCUCCACUGGGAAGAUGAAAGGAACUCAGGUAGGUGAGGAAGCACCACCUAACCUAUGAAAGGGUCAGGUUGUUGCCAAAAGGAGAAAGGGGACAGAUACCCUAAAUGUCACUAGAGGGGCAGAUCAAAGGCUGUGGAGUCAGGCAGUUCAAGUCCCAACUCUGUCACUCACUCCCAGUGGGUGCUGGGCCACGAUUGAACCUUUGUCCAUUUCCAUUGCUUUGCCAUUAAAAUUGAGAUAAUAGCACCUGAUUAAUCAACCAGGAUGACACAUGUCAACCCUUUGACCCCCUUACAACUCUCCCUGGCAGAUAUGCAAAAGCGCUCGGUGAAUCCAAGUUUGCUCUUCAUCGUUACAAAGAAGAAUGGAAGGCGGGGCGGGGGGAAACAAUGUGUAAUUAAGAAUCAUCGACAGAGAACCAUCCAGAAUUGCAACAUAAAAUGGAUAAGCGUACCUUGUUAUUUGAGCAGCACCGACGGCUCAGUAAACACUCCCACAUUCUUGAUCUCAUUCAGUCCAGCAGCAACCUCCUUAAGCGAGAAAGAUGGGCGCUUCCAUUUUCAUCUAAUAAAUGACAAACCAUGAAUCAAAAAGUGACCCAUUCAAGAUCUUCCAAAUGCUGGAAACAGGUCUGGUUCUGGCCUGCUCUCCAACCAUGAAGUCAAGGCACCGUGGACCGCAGGCUUCGCAGACCCUUCUUUGGAUAGGGAUCGGACUGCUUAAUCCAUAGCCAGGGACAGAAAACUGUGGCUCAAGGGCCAAAUCCUUUUGUUGUAAAUAACAUUUAAUUGGAACACAGCCAUGCCCAUAAAUUUACAUAUUAUCUGUGGCUGCUUUUACUUACAAUGGCAGAGUUGAGUAGCCAUAACAGAGAUCAACCAGAUGGACAGCAACACUGAAAAUGUUUAUUAUCUGGGUCCUUUACAGAAGCAUCUUGCCAAGGCUGAUCUACACCACGUGUAAUAUGACAAUUCCAGAGCAUGUGUUGCCAAAAUCAGGGUGGAAAUGUGCUCGCUUCGGCAGCACAUAUACAAAAUCAGGGUGGAAUUGGGUACUUAAUAUGAAUUACCAGUGUAACAAUUCAUCAAAACAAGUUUAUUAACAAAGGCAAGGUUUUCUGAUAGUUUUAAAUGGCUGUACUAUCGAGGGACGCCUUGGUGGCUCAGUCAGUUAAGCAUCCUACUUUGGCUCAGGCCAUGAUCUCGCGGUUUGUGAGUUCGAGCCCCGCGUCGGGCUCCGUGCUGACAGCUCAGAGCCCGGAACCUGCUUCGGAUUCUGUGUCUCCCUCUCUCUCUGCCCCUCCCCCACUGGUGCUCUGUCUCUUUCUCUCAAAAAUAAACAUUUAAAAAAAUUUAAAUGUCCCUACUAUUUAAAAAGGACUUACAACUGAGUUUUGUGGUAUUAAAAGUUAUUACUAAUUUGUGGUUACCUUUUUUUACAAUUUUACUCUAUAAAGAUACAUACAUAUAUUGAAUAAUUUACAAUGAAAAUAGACAACGCCUGGGAUUUGCUUUAAAAUACACCAGGAAGGGGCGUAUGGGUAGCUCAGUCGGUUCAGCCUCCAACUUUGGCUCAGGUCACGACCUCAUGGUUCGUGAGUUUGAGCCCCACGUGGGGCUCUGUACUGACAGCUCAGAGCCUGGAGCCUGCUUCAGAUUCUGUCUCUCUCACUCUCUCUCUCUCUCCCAAGAUAAAUAAAAAACACAUUAAAAAUUUUUAAAAAUACACCAGGUAAAAAAGGCAGAUGGGGCUGGGGAUUAGUGAGGUGAAGAUGGAAUAAAGGUGGAAAAAUGUCAGUAACGGGUGGAGCUGAUUGUUGAGGUACAAAAGGGGAUCAUUCUGCUUUUCUCCUUACUUAAUAUGUGUUUGAUAAUUUCCAUAAUAAAAAGUUAAUAUUUAAACAGGGAAUUUCAAAGGCCAGAUUAACCCUUUUUAAAAAAAAUCUCAUCUGACUAUAACAAUGCGUAUUUUUAUUAUUGCAGAAUAAUGUUUAUUAUCUGCAGAUAUGGCCCAAAUAAUCAGCCACGUGAUUUGCUUUCUCAGCAAAAGGAGACCCAGUGAACAUUCUACAAAGAGCCCAUUGUUCGUCCUUCAUCUGUGAUGUUCUUCCCUCCCAGCUUCUAACCUGCUCUCUGCUCUUACAUUUGUACAUUUUUCAACAUGAUAUUAAAUAUUUAAAGAGUCAUUUAGGGAACUAAAGUUCACUGUGGUUUGAUGUCUUGUAACCACAAAAUAACGUUGUUCUACGUGAUCUUUCACGUCAACAGAGACCAAAGUACUUUCGUCUACACGUGGAAGGUGUAACCCUAUCUAAGUCA